rnacentral:lncRNA from 1 species
CCUGUUUGUUCUUCAGACCUCAGGAUUUCUCCGUGUUUCCGAGACCGUAACGUUUGGAAUAGUUCACCAGUGAAGUCAUCUCAACCAGCACAGGGCCUUGAUUCCCAACAACAAUCACAUGAACUUGGAAGAGCAUCCUUCCCCAGCUGAACCUUCACCUGAGACCUCGUCCUUGGCCAUCAUCUACAUCUGGAUUCAUGAUACAGAGAAACUUGAGUAAUGAUGACAAUAGCAGUCCAGCCUUCAUGGAUGCUGACAUGGAUGCUGUCUCCCAUUCUUACCACUGGAUGUGAAGAAAUGCUAGAUGCAAUCCAGCCAAUGUGCACUCGACUCUCAGUUCCAUCUUCUCAACUCACAGUGUCUUCCAAAGUCCAUGCCACACCACAGCCUGGAACAUCUCCCAAAGUGGUAUCUUGAGGCAGUGGUAGAGCUCAUGUCACAGUAUUGUAUGUCUCAGAUAUCACUGUCCUUCACUGUUUGAUAUAAUCUCUCUUACAAACCAUUGUUCCGUACACUUUGCCCCUUUUGUGUUUGUUUAUACAUGUGGUAUGGCAUGUCUAAACCUCACAGUGAGGAU